rnacentral:rRNA from 1 species
UAACGCGAAGAACCUUACCUAGGCUUGACAUGCACGGAAAUCUCCCGGAGAUGGGGGGUCCGUAAGGGCCGUGCACAGGUGGUGCAUGGUUGUCGUCAGCUCGUGUCGUGAGAUGUUGGGUUAAGUCCCGCAACGAGCGCAACCCUCGUCCUAUGUUGCCAGCACGUGAUGGUGGGGACUCAUAGAAGACUGCCGGGGUCAACUCGGAGGAAGGUGGGGAUGACGUCAAAUCAUCAUGCCCCUUAUGUCUAGGGCUGCAAACAUGCUACAAUGGCCGGUACAAAGGGCUGCGAUACCGUGAGGUGGAGCGAAUCCCAAAAAGCCGGUCUCAGUUCGGAUUGGGGUCUGCAACUCGACCCCAUGAAGUUGGAGUCGCUAGUAAUCGCAGAUCAGCAAUGCUGCGGUGAAUACGUUCCCGGGUCUUGUACACACCGA